rnacentral:rRNA from 1 species
UUCGCAAUGCCCGAAAGGGUGACGAUGCGACGCCGCGUGAGCGAAGAAGGCCCUAGGGUUGUAAAGCUCUGUCGAGGGUUAUGAAAUAUAGAUGGGUUAAUACCCCAUUUAUUUGACAAAAGCCCAAAAGGAAGCCACGGCUAACUCUGUGCCAGCAGCCGCGGUAAUACAGAGGUGGCGAGCGUUGUUCGGUAUUAUUGGGCGUAAAGAGCACGUAGGUGGUUCUGUAAGUCAGAUGUGAAAGCCUUCUGUUCAAAGGAAGAACGGCAUCUGAAACUGCAGAUCUUGAGUGUAGGAGGGGAGAGUGGAACUUCUGGUGGAGCGGUGAAAUGCGUAGAUAUCAGAAGGAACGUCGGCGGCGAAAGCGACUCUCUGGCCUAUUACUGACACUGAGGUGCGAAAGUUAGGGGAGCAAACGGGAUUAGAUACCCCGGUAGUCCUAACCGUAAACGAUGGGCACUAAGUAGAGGGGUUUU